CGGACGGGUGAGUAAUGUCUGGGAAACUGCCUGAUGGAGGGGGAUAACUACUGGAAACGGUAGCUAAUACCGCAUAACGUCGCAAGACCAAGGAGGGGGACCUUCGGGCCUCUUGCCAUCGGAUGUGCCCAGAUGGGAUUAGCUAGUAGGUGGGGUAAAGGCUCACCUAGGCGACGAUCCCUAGCUGGUCUGAGAGGAUGACCAGCCACACUGGAACUGAGACACGGUCCAG
rnacentral:rRNA from 1 species